AAGGCGCACGGAGAAUGCCUUGGCACCAGAUGGCGAUGAAGGACGUGGUAAGCUGCGAUAAGUCUCGGGGAGCCGCACACAGGCGCUUGGACCCGAGAAUUUCCUAAUGGGGUAACCCGAUCGGGGGAAUGCCCGAUCACUCCGGCCUGAAUACAUAGGGCCGGUAGAGCGACACCCGCUGAAGUGAAACAUCUCAGUAAGCGGAGGAAGAGAAAACGAGCGUGAUUCCGUAAGUAGUGGCGAGCGAACACGGAAAAGCCCAAACCGGGGAGCUUGCUCCCCGGGGUUGUAGGGCCACAAUGUGGGACUUCGACGGUUAGGAGAAGCGGAUGGAAAGCCGCUCCCUAGAGGGUGAGAGACCCGUAUCCGAAAACCGAAAGAGCCCUAGUGGUACCCUGAGUAACGCGAUGCACGUGAAACUUCGCGUGAACCCGUCCCGACCACGGGAUAAGGCUAAAUACAAUCUGGUGACCGAUAGUGGACAAGUACCGCGAGGGAAAGGUGAAAAGAACCGCUGUGAGCGGAGUGAAACAGAACCUGCAACCGUGUGCCGACAAGGUGUCAGAGCCCCGCAAGGGGUGAUGGCGUGCCUUUUGCUUAAUGAGUCUGCGAGUUAUUGUCUGUGGCAUGCCGAAGGGCUUCUGGUCCGGAGGCGGAGCGAAAGCGAGUCCGAAAUGGGCGAACAUAGUCGCAGGCAGUAGACCCGAAGCGGAGGUGAUCUACCCAUGGCCAGGAUGAAGUCCCAGUAAAAUGGGAUGGAGGUCCGAACUGGUGAGCGUUGAAAAGCUCUCGGAUGAGCUGUGGGUAGGAGCGAAAGACUAAUCAAACCCCGUGAUAGCUGGUUCUCCCCGAAAUAGCUUGAGGGCUAGCCUUGCAUGCUGACCUGUAGAGGUAGAGCACUGGAUGGACGAGGGCCCAUACCCGGGUACCGAAUCCAAUCAAACUCCGAAUGCUACAGGGUGGAGUGCAGGAGUCAGACGGCGGGGGAUAAGCUUCGUCGUCGAGAGGGAAACAGCCCAGACCGUCAGCUAAGGUGCCUAACGACCGCUGAGUGGAAAGGAUGUGGGAUUUCAUAGACAGUGAGGAUGUUGGCUUAGAGGCAGCCAUCAUUUAAACAAAGCGUAACAGCUGACUCAUCGAGAGAUCCCGCGCCGAAAAUGAUUGGCGAUCAAGCGGUCGACCGAAGCUACGGAUGAAAUACCGGUUCGCCGGAAUUUCGUGGUAGGGGAGCGUUCUGUACGCAUCGAAGCGGAAGGGAAACUGACCGUGGAGUGUACGGAAGUGAGAAUGCAGACAUGAGUAGCGAUCAUCCCGGUGAAAUUCCGGGACGCCGUAAACCCAAGGUUUCCUGGGGAAGGUUCGUCCUCCCAGGGUUAGUCGGGUCCUAAGUCGAGGCCGCACGGCGUAGACGAUGGGCAGCAGGUUCAAUAUUCCUGCACCGCCGAAAUUUAACCUACGUGGACGCAAGAACGGAGAGUGGCAAGGUGAUGAAUGUCCUUGUCCCGCAAGGGGACGCGGAGGCUACGGCCGAAGCGGAUCAUUUAAAGUUUUUGCCGAGAAAAAGCGUAGCGAAUACUAAGGCGCCCGUACCGUAAACCGACACAGGUGGGUGAGUAGAGUAUACUAAGGUGCGCGAGUGAACCCUCUUCAAGGAACUCGGCAAUCUAACCCCGUAACUUAGGGAUAAGGGGUGCCCCGUCGCAAGAUGGGGUCGCAGAGAAAUGGGCCUACCGACUGUUUAGCAAAAACACAGCACUCUGCUAAGUCGUGAAGACGACGUAUAGGGUGUGACACGUGACCAAUGCCGAAAGAUUACGGUGAGGGGUCAGUUCCGCGAAAGCGGGACGAAGCUCCGAGCCCAAGUCCCGGUGAAUGUCGGCCGUAACUAUAACGGUCCUAAGGUAGCGAAAUUCCUUGUCGGGUAAGUUCCGACCUGCACGAAUCGUGUAACGAGUGGGCCGCUGUCUCGAAGAGGCGCUCGGCGAAGUUGUAUUGGCGGUGAAGAUGCCGCCUACCCGCAGUAGGACGGAAAGACCCCGUGCACCUUUACUGUAAGCUGUCGCUGGAUUUUCGUUCGGAAUACUUAGCGUAAGUGGGAGACGUUGAUCCUUGGGUUUCGGCCUAAGGGGAGUCGCCAAUGAAACACCACCUUUUCUUCAUGAAGAUUCUAACCCUUGCCCGUCAUCCGGGUGGGGGACCACGGCAGCGGGUCAGUUUGACUGGGGCGGUUUCCUCCUAAAGAGUAACGGAGGAGUGCUAUGGUUCUCUCAGCAUGGUUGGUAAUCAUGCGUCGAGCGUAUGGGUACAUGAGAGCCUGACUGCGAGACCUACAAGUCGAGCAGGGACGAAAGUCGGCCCAAGUGAUCCGGUGGUUGAAAGUGGAAUCGCCAUCGCUCAUCGGACAAAAGGUACGCCGGGGAUAACAGGCUGAUCGCGCCCAAGAGUUCAUAUCGACGGCGCGGUUUGGCACCUCGAUGUCGGCUCAUCGCAUCCUGGGGCUGGAGAAGGUCCCAAGGGUCCGGCUGUUCGCCGGUUAAAGCGGUACGCGAGCUGGGUUCAGAACGUCGUGAGACAGUUCGGUCCUUAUCCACUGUGGGCGCAGGAAAUGUGACGGGUUCAUUCCCUAGUACGAGAGGACCGGGAAUGACGUACCUCUGGUGUUCCGGUUGUCGCGUCAGCGGCAGCGCCGGGUAGCUAAGUACGGAAGAGAUAAGCGCUGAAAGCAUCUAAGCGCCAAGCUCAUCCGAAGAUGACAUUUCCCCAUUAGGGACGUGGUAGAUAAUCACGUUGAUAGGUCGCAAGUGGAAGCACGGUAACGUGUUUAGCUAAGCGAUACUAAUUUCCCAAUUGGCUUGAUC
rnacentral:rRNA from 1 species